UGCAAAGUCGAGCGGACAGAUGGGAGCUUGCUCCCUGAUGUUAGCGGCGGACGGGUGAGUAACACGUGGGUAACCUGCCUGUAAGACUGGGAUAACUCGGGAAACCGGGGCUAAUACCGGAUGGUUGUUUGAACCGCAUGGUUCAGACAUAAAAGGUGGCUUCGGCUACCACUUACAGAUGGACCCGCGGCGCAUUAGCUAGUUG
rnacentral:rRNA from 1 species